rnacentral:rRNA from 1 species
UUGGACCUGAUAUCAGACAAGACUACCCGCUGAACUUAA